AACUGAUACUACCUGCGGGAACCUGCGGAGGGAUCAUUACCGAGUUAGGGUAGUCACUCACUGCCCGACCUCCCAACCCUGUGUCUACCACACUUUGUCGUUGCUUCGGCGGACCGGUUGACCAACUGGUCGUGACCGCCGGGGGCUGGCUCUGUCCCCCCUGGAGAGCGUCCGUCGAUGGCCCAACCACAAAACUCUUGUACCGAAACGUGUCGUCUGAAUUAUAUUUGAGAAAUCAAA
rnacentral:misc_RNA from 1 species